UAGAUACCCGGGUAGUCCUAGGUGUAAACGCUGUGGACUUGAUGUUGGGGGUGCUCCGAGCACUCUCAGUGUCGAAGCGAAGGUGAUAAGUCCACUGCCUGGGAAGUACGGUCGCAAGGCUGAAACUUAAAGGAAUUGGCGGGGGAGCACCGCAACCUGAGGAUUGUGCGGUUUAAUUGGAUUCAACGCCGGAAAACUCACCAUAGCCGACGGACAUAUGAAGGUCAGUGUAAUGAACUUACCCGAUUGUUCGAGAGGUAGUGCAUGGCCGCCGUCAG
rnacentral:rRNA from 1 species